CCUGGCGGCCACAGCGCGGCGGUCCCACCUGACCCCAUGCCGAACUCAGAAGUGAAACGCCGUAGCGCCGAUGGUAGUGUGGGGC
rnacentral:rRNA from 1 species